AUACGGAGGGUGCUAGCAUUAAUCGGAUUUACUGGGUGUAAAGAGCGCGUAGGCGGACAGAUAAGUCAGAUGUGAAAUUCCGAGGCUCAACCUCGGAGCUGCAUUUGAAACUGUUUGUCUUGAGGGUAGACGGAGAAAGCGGAAUUCCACGUGUAGCGGUGAAAUGCGUAGAUAUGUGGAAGAACACCGGUGGCGAAGGCGGUUUUCUAGUUUAUUCCUGACGCUGAGGCGCGAAAGCAAGGGUAGCAAACAGGAUUAGAAACCCUAGUAGUCC
rnacentral:rRNA from 1 species